rnacentral:rRNA from 1 species
UACGUAGGGUCCGAGCGUUGUCCGGAUUUAUUGGGCGUAAAGAGCUCGUAGGCGGCUUGCUAAGUCAGGUGUGAAACCUCCAGGCUCAACCUGGAGCCGCCACCUGAUACUGGUAUGGCUAGAGUCCGGUAGGGGACCACGGAAUUCCUGGUGUAGCGGUGAAAUGCGCAGAUAUCAGGAGGAACACCGGUGGCGAAGGCACUCUACUGGGCCAUUACUGACACUGAGAGACGAAAGCUAGGGGAGCAAAUGGG